AUUGAACGCUGGCGGCAUGCUUUACACAUGCAAGUCGAACGGUAACAGGCCGCAAGGUGCUGACGAGUGGCGAACGGGUGAGUAAUGCAUCGGAACGUGCCCAGUCGUGGGGGAUAACGCAGCGAAAGCUGCGCUAAUACCGCAUACGAUCUAUGGAUGAAAGCGGGGGACCGUAAGGCCUCGCGCGAUUGGGGCGGCCGAUGUCAGAUUAGGUAGUUGGUGGGGUAAAGGCUCACCAAGCCAACGAUCUGUAGCUGGUCUGAGAGGACGACCAGCCACACUGGGACUGAGACACGGCCCAGACUCCUACGGGAGGCAGCAGUGGGGAAUUUUGGACAAUGGGCGCAAGCCUGAUCCAGCAAUGCCGCGUGCAGGAUGAAGGCCUUCGGGUUGUAAACUGCUUUUGUACGGAACGAAACGGUGAGCUCUAAUACAGUUUGCUAAUGACGGUACCGUAAGAAUAAGCACCGGCUAACUACGUGCCAGCAGCCGCCGCCGUAA
rnacentral:rRNA from 1 species